rnacentral:sRNA from 1 species
GAAGUGGUGUGUGUGCUGCGACCCCGAGGGAAGAUGAACGGGACGCGGAACUGGUGUACCCUGGUGGACGUGCACCCAGAGGACCAGGCGGCGGGCAGUGUGGACACUCUCAGGCUGACUCUCCAGGGUGAACUGACAGGAGAUGAACUUGAACACAUAGCCCAGAAGGCGGGCAGGAAGACCUAUGCCAUGGUGUCCGGCCACUCAGCUGGUCAUUCUCUGGCUUCAGAACUGGUGGAGUCCCAUGAUGGACAUGAGGAAAUCAUUAAGGUGUACUUGAAGGGGAGGUCUGGAGAAAAGAUGAUUCACGAGAAGAAUAUUAACCAGCUGAAGAGUGAGGUCCAGUACAUCCAGGAGGCCAGGAACUGCCUACAGAAGCUCCGGGAGGAUAUAAGUAGCAAGCUUGACAGGGACCUAGGAGAUUCUCUCCAUCGACAGGAGAUACAGGUGGUGCUAGAAAAGCCAAAUGGCUUUAGUCAGAGUCCCACGGCCCUGUACAGCAGCCUACCUGAGGUGGACACCUGUAUAAAUGAGGAUGUUGAGAGCUUGAGGAAGACUGUGCAGGACUUGCUGGCCAAGCUUCAGGAGGCCGAGCGGCAACACCAGUCAGACCGUGUGGCUUUUGAGGUGAGAUUUGGGAUUUGGGGAGAAGGUGCCCUAAGGGAUGGGCUACUGAACACAGG